UUUCUUCUUUUAUUACUCGUAUAUACACAACUUCUUAAAUACAAGGAACGAUGAUAAUAAAUUAAAAAAAAAAAAGGCUACAUUCUCACGAAAUCUCUCAUUCUUGCAGGAGCACUUCAAUCUUCAACAACACUGCAUUUCUCAUCCCUCAAUUCGUCACUCUAAUGAUGAAGAACACCAACGACUCGAACCAUCAAUUUCAACAAGAAGCUCUGCUUUCUCUAAAUGGAACCAUAAAUCUCUCACUACCAUCGCCUCGUAGUUCCUCUGUCGCACUGCACCUCUCGCUUUCAACUCGAUCUCCGUUUUCUGUAAUCUAAGGAGGAGAACGAUCGCUUGUCAAUAACUUCCUAUUUCCGCAUCCAUUGUUGAAAUUUUCUUCGGGAAGUAGCGUGGUUCUCUUUUCAAUUUUCAUCAAAUUGAAGUCUGAUAUUAUGCUAAUGAUUAUUUUUAUUAAAAUUGAAGUUUGUUAAAAUUGUUCAAAAUUCAUUGCAAGUUGGUAGUUACACUGCACUUUGCACACUAUAAUUAUAUCUGCUUGAAAUAUAAAAUCUGAAAUCAAUAAUUAACUCAACACACAAUGAGGAAACAGAAAAUUAUUGAAUGAAUGGAAACUAAUUAAUUGAUUUGAAAUUUUUAUUAGUUAUGUUUAUAUAUAAGCAAUUGAGAAGAAAAGCUAACUAACUAAUUUAACCACUAACAGAAAAUGGUACUCAUCUAAGCAAAUUAUCAUUAAGACUCUUAAUAACCCUUAACUAACUUUAGUAGCAGUGCCAAUAGUUGUACUCUCUUUUUGCUCCUGUAAAUUGUAAUGCCGAUUGUUUGGUAUGUGUUCUGGCCUCAAGUUUGAGCACCAUUUUUUUCACAUUUUUGUCCUUAAAAUUCGCCUAAUGUGAGUGGAGGGAAACAAGUGAUUAUAACUUCUUUGGCCUCGGUCAUUCAAUUAAGAUAUAGGACGAUUCAAAAUCUAAGGUCGGAGUUUUUAUUUAAAAAUUUCUGCGUGCAAUCGCUCUGCCCCUAAUCAAAAUCCAUCGGAAUAGAUCAUUUUUUAAGGAUGCAGAAACACUUGCAAGAAACUAAUCAAGGACAACCAGUUUGGUGGUUUUUUUUUCUCCAUUUGUUAAUUGUGUGAUAGAUGAGGUUUGUCUCAAAGUAUUCUUUUUAAUUCCCUGUAGAUUUGGAAAGUACUAAUACUCAAGAUACUCUAAUCUUAUUCAGAUUUCUUUAAUUGGAACACGGUGAAGAUACACUAUUGUGGUUGUGGCGGUGCAUCUUUUGCUGGUCUCACUGAGAAUGAGAACAGGAAGGAUGGUUGUUCUUUAGAAGCCAGAUCACAUGAGAAGCUAUGACGGAUGAACGCUUAUUAUC